UACAGAGGUCUCAAGCGUUGUUUCGGAUUCAUUGGGCGUAAAGGGUGCGUAGGCGGCGCGGUAAGUCGGGUGUGGAAAUCUCGGAGCUUAACUCCGAAACUGCAUUCGAUACUGCCGUGCUUGAGGACUGGAGAGGAGACUGGAAUUUACGGUGUAGCGGUGAAAUGCGUAGAUAUCGUAAGGAAGACCAGUGGCGAAGGCGGGUCUCUGGACAAGUUCCUGACGUGAGGCACGAAGGUCAGGGGAGCAAACGGG
rnacentral:rRNA from 1 species